rnacentral:rRNA from 1 species
GAUGAACGCUGGCGGCGUGCCUAAUACAUGCAAGUCGAGCGAACGGACGAGAAGCUUGCUUCUCUGAUGUUAGCGGCGGACGGGUGAGUAACACGUGGAUAACCUACCUAUAAGACUGGGAUAACUUCGGGAAACCGGAGCUAAUACCGGAUAAUAUUUUGAACCGCAUGGUUCAAAAGUGAAAGACGGUCUUGCUGUCACUUAUAGAUGGAUCCGCGCUGCAUUAGCUAGUUGGUAAGGUAACGGCUUACCAAGGCAACGAUGGAUAGCCGACCUGAGAGGGGUGAAGGUCACCAUUGAAAUGGGACACGGUCCCAGUUCCUUCGGGAGGACGCAUUUGGGGAAUUUUCGCCAAUGGGCGAAGGCUUGCGGGACCAAGGCCGGUUGGCUGUUGAGGGUCUUCGAUUCUAAAAAUCCUUUUUUUGGGGAAGACAAUUUUUGUAGGUACUUUUGAAACUCUUGCGGUUCCUUAAUCGGAAAGCCGCGCCAACUUCCUU